rnacentral:misc_RNA from 1 species
AUAAUUUAAAUCAUAAUAAUUAAAAAAUGUCAGAAGAAGGGUCCGGAAACUCUCGGCUGGGCGAGAUUGUUCUGGAAAAGUACUGCCCCUUGGACCUAAGUGAGGACGAGGAUGACCCAGAUAACUUUGAACCAAUAAAUACAGAUGAGUCUGCUCCAAAAGUUCUUGAACAAUCUGCAAAUAUCCCAAACAGAUCUGGAAAUCCAAUCAACAGAUCUGGAAAUCCAAUCAACAGAUCUGGAAAUCCAAUCAACAGACCUGGAAAUCCAAUCAACAAAUCUGGAUUUUCAACCAACAGACCUGGAAAUCCAAUCAACAGACCUGGAAAUCCAAUCAACAAAUCUGGAUUUUCAACCAACAGACCUGGAAAUCCAAUCAACAGACCUGGAAAUCCAAUCAACAGAUCUGUCCUGAGCACCACAACAAGUUUGGUUAAAGUUGGGUUUCAGAAGGGAAGGAGUCCUAGAAAAUCAAUUGGAUCUAUGGCUAUUGCAUCCUCUGCAGACAAAGCUGAAUUAAUUUCAUUAAAAGCUGGUGGACUGCAGGCGAAUGGGAAGAAGCCCCUGAGGACUGAUGUUCCUAAAGGUAUUCCUAGAAGCAAGAUUCAGAAGGUUGGUAAUUAUGCAUCUCGUGGUAGAGAACUGGUUUCCCAGAAUACAGAUCUGGAUGAUGAUACAGUAGUUCUACUAGACGAGGAGGAGAACAAGUGCUAUACCUGUUGCAAAGAUAUAGUUGAAUCUAAACUUGAUUUGAGAGUUGAUACUGGCUCCGCUGUGAAUAUUUACAAGUUGUGUGCGGACUGUGUUCUAAAGCUGGAGAAGAGAAGCCUGGUUGCAACUAAGAAAGAGUACAAGACCGGUCAGAUCCUUACUGAGAGCAAAGUUAUUAUUGUAGAUUCCUGUGAAGAUUAUGAAUGUCUACUCUGCUUCAAGAAGAUGUCUUCGCAACACUGGACUUCUUAUCAUUUUGUCAGCUUCCAGGAAGGAAUAUUGAAGACUCCUAAUCCUAGCCGGAGCUCAAACUUCCUCCUCUGUGUAUUUCUAUGUGACAAGUGUAGCUACUUACCUAUACCUGAUGAAUUCAACUACACAUUCAUUCGUUUUCCAGUAUUUAACAAGAAGAAGAAAUUUAUGUACUUCCCACCUAUCCAAAAAACUUCUGAAAAGAGUGCACUGUCGACCUAUCCAGUAUCCCUCCUCGCCUCUAAAGCCUCCAGUAUUCUUGACCGCUUCAAGGACAAGGCUGUACUCAGGGAACCUCCCAGACAUUUAAAAGGCAACAUGUUGUAUAUACACAACGGUUUUGAUAAACAUGGAAAUUGGAACGGAAAGCACUGGGGCUGUGAUGGAUAUUCGUUUAUCAGGUGGAAUACUCGCAAGGUUCGCGUCCAAACUAAAGAACUAGAGGAAACUGUAUUUGUACUGAAGGGGACCAGUCAAUCUGAAGCACCUGAUCCGUUGGUGUUCCGUAGAAGAGUGAUUAAGAGUCCUGAACUCAAAGAGACUUCCAUUAUAUUUUACUCUGGCAAUGUCCCUGUUGUUGGGAACCCUGAGGUUCUUCAUGUUGAAGAAAUCGAAGAAAUAAGUUUAUCUGAUGAUGAAGAUGGGUGGGCCGUGAAGGAAGUUGCAGUCAAAGUAAAUCAGAAACCAUCAGAUUCCUUCCAAACAGUUCAAUCCCUUGUGAAAACUCAUUUGCAGGCUCCUAUCAAACUGAACAACUCGAAUAAAAGAUCUAAUAGUAAAUCAAAGAGAAAAGGAAUUGUUGACAAGCCAUCUGAUCCCGGAGUUUCACAGCCACCAUCUGUGCGUGGAAGUAAGAAAACUAAAUUCAAUCCAGUUCCCUCAGUACCAGAAAUAUCAACUAUUAACGUGAUAAAACCAAUUGCUACCCCCUCUCAUGCUCAACAAUCUACCAUGAAAACAGUUAAACUAAUAGUACAAAAAGAACUAAGAUCCGAUGUUUCACACACCAAUGUCAAAGAUUUGACAUCUUCUAUGGCCAACUAUGACAGUAGAACAUAUUUAUUUCAAAAUUUUGACGGGAAGCAGUUGUUUAAAGCAGUUCCACUUGUUACAAAGGACAAGGUUUUUCAAGGCUCUCAGUGGAUUCCCAAGGAAAAUGUGCUUCACAGAUUACUCCUGGAAACAGAUCGGCUUGGAGAAUAUAAGAUAAAAAGGGAGCAGUUGUCCGCACUAUUUGGUAUUUCACUUCCCAAGAAACCCCAAAUUUCUUUGGAACAAGACUGGGAUUCGUUCCUUGGUCCUUUCUCUAACAAUAAUGGAGUCACUUAUUUGAGAAUUCCGGUUCAUUGUGAUAAUAUGACCGCUAUUGAGAAGGUUAUAAGUCAAGAUUCAUUUAUAAUCAAUGAAAUUACUCAAAAGAGGGGAGUUGUUGAAAAUUCUCUUCUGAUUUUGGACUACUUCACCAACAUGAAAGUAAGUGACCCGUAUGAGCUAGCAUUAUCUCCGAGUGAUUUGUCUGAUCCCCUCGCAGGAUUAGAGGAUGUGCUGCGGGAAAUGGAUGAAGAUCCUUUAUCAAGCUAUGAUCCCCAUUAUGUUACUCCAAAUGAAUUUUUUGUCAGUAAACCUGUUCUUGAAGGUAAGCCUGUUCUGACCGCUAGCAACCCCAUGGUUGUUUUCCCAAUUCAAACUUCACAAUUCACCAACCUAGUUGAUCCAGUGAAAGUAGAAAGCGAUGACAAGAAUAUGGUUUUCCCGGUUGUUACAAUGGUCAGAUCUAUUGACGAGUCCUCCUUUAACCUGGACAUAGACCCACUUACAGGGACAGCAACACCAGUUCAGGACAUCAAAGUUGAACCGACUAUGCCUUGCAUCACAAGUGUGUGUGGAAAUGCCAACUUCCUUACGGAUCUAUUAAAAGCAGAAACAAACAAUGAAUCUAAUUCAGACAUCAAUACAAUACUUCAUUAGAACCAUACAGGUCUUUACAAUACUGUGACUUGUAGUUCAACAUUCUCUAGCUCAGACAUAAACCAAUGAAGUACCGAUUCAUACAAAACUCAUGAACCAGCGCAAAGUUUUCAACAGUCAUAUUUGUAUUCAAGACCUACAUGAUUCUACAGUUCAACCAAUAAUAUUCCACUAUGAUCGAUUAAACAAGAUUACAAAAUUAUGCUCUAAACCUCUAUCAUAUCAGCAAUAACUUCAAAUCCAAAUCCACAGUCCGUAUAUAGUCAUAUUACUAUUAGUAACAUUAAAGCCAAAAAAAUGUGUGUCCUAUAUUAUCAAGAGUUAAUAUCUGGCCCGUCCUCUCAUAAUUCUUCUGCAAUACCCCCACCCCUCUUUUAAAAGAGCAACUCUCUGUGACUAUACUUUUCAAGGUUAUGUUAAAGGGGCUGCAAGUGUAAUUUCAAGUAACCCUCCAUGCAAUGAUGGCUAUGCCCAAUUUACAAUGGAACCCUUGAAACCUUGAUCUAAUUAACAGGUGGAGGAUAUUCACGUUUCUCUGACUAAUAGUGUUUAUUUCCGUGAGUUGCUCUAGUGCUUUUUUAUUAACAAGGUCCAGGAUGAAUGGUUAUACAAAUCUGAUCUAUACUUGGAUUCCAGGUUCAGCUUCGGUAUCAUGAUAUUUGGUUUCGGUCAACCGAUAAUCUUGACUUUGGUAUCAAUGACAAAAAUAUUGCCUUGAUUCCUGGCACUCCAAUGGUGAUUGGUUGGAUUGGCUGGUACUUUUGGUGGUUUGGGGUACAUGUAAGUAUCUAGAUCUUCCUUUUUUUGCUUUUUGAUAGAUUGCUUACUCAAUCCUGUGGCUACUUGUUCGGGUUUCUCACUGUCUUAGUUGUUAUAUUCUUUCUUGGUUUCUCGAUAGCACCUGCAGCUGCAGUGCUCAGCCCCUCUCCGACCUUAUCAUGAAAACUCCAGUGUUAAUAUCAUUCCAGAGAAUGCCCUGAUAUUCCCGUGCUCCUACUACUCUAUUAGCAACUUAACCAAGAACUACAAAUCCUGCUGAGUUAUUAGUACUGUAUUGAUAGGUUAAGGCUAGAGUUUGCAAAAUAUGAAAGGAAAGGAUAGACGUAGAAGAAAAAAACGGAUGAAUAUUUAAAAAUUAAAAUUUUAUAUGUCUGACCAAAAAAAGGACAGAAGGUCACAAUUCAGUUGGGUCUGAGAGUUCCAUUUUCUCUAAGUCAAUAAAUCAACGCAAAUGCGUCUGACAAAAAUUAUUUUUAUAGUCUAUCUAUAAACUCAAGGUUUUAAGAUUAAGGAAAAAUAGUAUGGAAGAUCAUGGCCCGCGUAAAACAAGUUUUCACUAUGGUUUAUAGGGUAUCUACACCCAUAUGUCAAGUUUUUAAUGAUCAGGCAACAGCUCAACUCAAAACGGGUAUACACUAAACAUCUUUUCAUUAAUCUUGAGUAAAACAAAAAAUAGAAAAACUUCGAUAACGAACUGGAAAGAGGCUUAUACUGAUAUAUCGUUUUUUUGUAUGCAUGAGCUUUUGCCCACAACCCUUUAUUAAAAUAAAUUGUUUUUUUUUAUAGCUAAAAAACAACAAGAAAUGUUCAAGUCACUUUCGCAGAGAACCCGCAGAUGAAAAUAAACUUUUUAAAGGCACAAUUAAACAUUGA